rnacentral:rRNA from 1 species
AUUGAACGCUGGCGGCAGGCCUAACACAUGCAAGUCGAGCGGAGCGGCGGACGGGUGAGUAAUGCCUAGGAAUCUGCCUGGUAGUGGGGGAUAACGUCCGGAAACGGGCGCUAAUAACGCAUACUAUCAGAUGAGCCUAGGUGGGAUUAGCUUGUUGGUGGGGUAAAGGCCUACCUAGGCGACGAUCCCUAGCUGGGCUGAGAGGAUGACCAGCCACACUGGAACGGAGACACGGUCCAGACUCCUACGGGAGGCAGCAGUGGGGAAUAUUGCACAAGGCGCUCAAGCCUGAUGCAGCCAUGCCGCGUGUAUGAAGAAGUCCUUCGGGUUGUAAAGUACUUUCAUCUGGGAAGCGUUACCCGAUGAAGAAGCACCGGCUAACUCCGUGCCAGCAGCCGCGGUAAUAC